AGCCGAAAACGGCUUCUUGCUGUCCUCCUUCGAGAAGAGCGGCAAGCUAAUAAAAGCCCAGGUGAGGGUUCGGUAGGCAGCAGCGUCUCUGACGCCGAUUGGUCUCACACCGCCCGCCAGCCCUGCAGAAUCAUCAUCGUCGUGGUAGGAGGGGAAAAAAGAAGAAGAAAGGAAAGAUGAACGAGAUAUUGACCGCGGCGGAUGUGACUUCGUCGUCGAUGAAGUCGAUGGCGGCGCCCUCUCCUCCCUCGUCCCUGGCCGCCAAUCCCUCCCUCGUCUCCGCCUUCCUCGCCUUCUCCUUCGCCCAAUUUCUCAAGCUCUUCACCACCUGGUUUAAGGAGAAGAGAUGGGAUUCUAAGAGGUUGCUUGAAUCAGGUGGAAUGCCUUCAUCACAUUCAGCAACUGUGGCAGCUCUUGCUGUGGCUAUAGGUCUACAAGAAGGAACUGGCAGUUCUUCAUUUGCUCUUGCUGUGAUUUUGGCAUCUAUUGUGAUGUACGAUGCAUCUGGAAUCAGAUUGCAUGCUGGCCAGCAAGCUGAGUUGUUGAAUCAAAUAGUAUGCGAACUGCCAUCAGAGCACCCUUUAUCUAGUGUUAGGCCUUUACGUGAACCUCUUGGACACACCCCACUUCAGAAAUCAGGACAGGCUGCUCAAUAAGAUGUGCAGGGUGAAAUUUACCGUGAACAAAUUUGUGCCUAAUGGAGAUGCUAUAGUUUCUUGUUUGGAGAUGUCUGAGCCGUGCAAGGCAGCAACCAUAGACCACAAGCACUUAUAAAUAGCCAAUCAAAUCUUUUGCCUCUUGCAUAAUAAGGAACCAGGCAAAUUCACCAUGGGUUUGUGCAGGUGCUGUCCUUGGCUGCAUCGUAUCAUACCUGAUGAGAUAUUCAGGGUGAGGAGAAAAUUGACCUUUGUCUGCCAUAAUUGGUUCUGAUGGAAAUGGGGCUCAAUUACAUGGCUGAAAACAAUCCUUGCACCAACAAGAUAUUAAUAUUAGCUUGGGUAGGACAUAAAUACUAGUUGAUCUGAAUCUGUUCAGUAAAUUAGCUUUUGCCCUCGUGUUAACGAUGGUAAAAAUCUCAAUUCUCCUUGAAAAUUUAAGCACUGGUCCACCAAAUAGAGAAAGAUGGUGCAAUAUUUGUGCUAACCCUUGGUUGGCUUUCAGCUUAAAUGCAAAGUUGCACCUGCCACAAAAGCUAUCUUGCUUGUGUGCAAAUAAAACUUACACUUUACUUUGGCAGAUGACAAUGAUGUCGUCAAUUCUAAAUUAAAAUCUAUCAUCGAAGUCAUGUUUAUAGUCUGAAACCUCUGUUCUGUCUGCUGUCGAUAGAUAUUUUUUCCAUGAACCUAGACCUCUGAUUGCAUGGAUAUAACUUGAUGACUUAUCUUUUC